AGUGCUCGCAAGAGAACUGGAACGACAGGUGCUGCAUGGCUGUCGUCAGCUCGUGUCGUGAGAUGUUGGGUUAAGUCCCGCAACGAGCGCAACCCUUGUCAUUAGUUGCUACGAAAGGGCACUCUAAUGAGACUGCCGGUGACAAACCGGAGGAAGGUGGGGAUGACGUCAAGUCCUCAUGGCCCUUAUGGGUAGGGCUACACACGUCAUACAAUGGCCGGUACAAAGGGCAGCCAACCCGCGAGGGGAGCCAAUCCCGUAAAGCCGGUCGUAGUCCGGAUCGCAGUCUGCAACUCGACUGCGUGAAGUCGGAAUCGCUAGUAAUCGUGGAUCAGCAUGUCACGGUGAAUACGUUCCCGGGUCUU
rnacentral:rRNA from 1 species